rnacentral:rRNA from 1 species
UACAGAGGUCCCAAGCGUUGUUCGGAUUCACUGGGCGUAAAGGGUGCGUAGGCGGUUAGGUAAGUCUGAUGUGAAAUCUCCGGGCUCAACCCGGAAACUGCAUUGGAUACUAUCUAGCUAGAGGUUUGGAGGGGGGACUGGAAUUCUCGGUGUAGCAGUGAAAUGCGUAGAUAUCGAGAGGAACACCAGUGGCGAAGGCGGGUCCCUGGACAACACCUGACGCUGAGGCACGAAAGUCGGGGGAGCAAACAGG